rnacentral:rRNA from 1 species
AGUGAACGCUGGCGGUAGGCCUAACACAUGCAAGUCGAACGGCAGCACAGUAAGAGCUUGCUCUUACGGGUGGCGAGUGGCGGACGGGUGAGGAAUACAUCGGAAUCUACUUUUUCGUGGGGGAUAACGUAGGGAAACUUACGCUAAUACCGCAUACGACCUACGGGUGAAAGCAGGGGAUCUUCGGACCUUGCGCGAUUGAAUGAGUCGAUGUCGGAUUAGCUAGUUGGCGGGGUAAAGGCCCACCAAGGCGACGAUGCGUAGCCGAUCUGAGAGGAUGAUCAGCCACACUGGAACUGAGACACGGUCCAGACUCCUACGGGAGGCAGCAGUAGGGAAUAUUGGACAAUGGGCGAAAGCCUGAUCCAGCCAUACCGCGUGAGUGAAGAAGGCCUUCGGGUUGUAAAACCCUUUUAUUUGGAAAGAAAAGCAGCGGAUUAAUACCUCGAUGUUCUGACGGUACCCAAAGAAUAAGCACCGGCUAACUACGUG